CAGGCGGAUUGUUAAGCAAGAUGUGAAAUCCCCGGGCUUAACCUGGGAAUGGCAUUUUGAACUGACAGUCUAGAGUGUGUCAGAGGGGGGUGGAAUUCCACGUGUAGCAGUGAAAUGCGUAGAGAUGUGGAGGAACACCGAUGGCGAAGGCAGCCCCCUGGGAUAACACUGACGCUCAUGUACGAAAGCGUGGGUAGCAAGCAGGAUUAGAUACCCUGGUAGUCCACGCCCUAAACGAUGUCAACUGGUUGUUGGGGGAGUGAAAUCCCUUAGUAACGAAGCUAACGCGUGAAGUUGACCGCCUGGGGAGUACGGUCGCAAGAUUAAAACUCAAAGGAAUUGACGGGGACCCGCACAAGCGGUGGAUGAUGUGGAUUAAUUCGAUGCAACGCGAAAAACCUUACCUACCCUUGACAUGUCCGGAAUCCUGAAGAGAUUUGGGAGUGCUCGAAAGAGAACCGGAACACAGGUGCUGCAUGGCUGUCGUCAGCUCGUGUCGUGAGAUGUUGGGUUAAGUCCCGCAACGAGCGCAACCCUUAUCAUUAGUUGCUACGCAAGGGCACUCUAAUGAGACUGCCGGUGACAAACCGGAGGAAGGUGGGGAUGACGUCAAGUCCUCAUGGCCCUUAUGGGUAGGGCUUCACACAUCAUACAAUGGUCGGUACAGAGGGUUGCCAAGCCGCGAGGUGGAGCCAAUCCCAGAAAGCCGAUCGUAGUCCGGAUUGUUCUCUGCAACUCGAGAGCAUGAAGUCGGAAUCGCUAGU
rnacentral:rRNA from 1 species